CCUACGGGAGGCAGCAGUCGAGAAUCAUUCACAAUGGGGGAAACCCUGAUGCAGCGACGCCGCGUGAGUGAAGAAGUAUUUCGGUACGUAAAGCUCUAUCAGCAGGGAAGAAAAUGACGGUACCUGACUAAGAAGCCCCGGCUAACUACGUGCCAGCAGCCGCGGUAAUACGUAGGGGGCAAGCGUUAUCCGGAUUUACUGGGUGUAAAGGGAGCGUAGAUGGCAGCGCAAGUCUGGAGUGAAAUCCCAUGGCUUAACCAUGGAACUGCUUUGGAAACUGUGCAGCUAGAGUGCAGGAGAGGUAAGCGGAAUUCCUAGGGUAGCGGUGAAAUGCGUAGAUAUUAGGAGGAACACCAGUGGCGAAGGCGGCUUACUGGACUGUAACUGACGUUGAGGCUCGAAAGCGUGGGGAGCAAACAGGAUUAGAUACCCCUGUAGUC
rnacentral:rRNA from 1 species